AGGGGUGUGGUUGGCCCUGUGCUCCCCAUCUAACCAAAAGGGGUGUACCCAGGGUGGAUUCAUUCUUGGCUCAUAUAAGGGAGAGCAUUGCUUGGGUGUAGACUGCUUUCUGAGAUGGAGUGCUAUAUAGCCAGAGAUCCUCUUUAGCAGCUGGUUGAAUUUGACUUUUCUUUUUGCAUAAGACUGCUGGCCUACCUGUGAGUACUUUGCUUGGUAUUGCCAAGAAUCUGCCAGAAGAAAUUUUGCUUCUUUGUGGGCAGAACACCUAACCCUGCAGAUUGGGUGGGGCCCUGGGCAACUUUAUCUAACAGUUUGCCACACUGCUUGCAGUAGAGGGCUUGGAGCUUGAUGAUCCUUGAAGUCCCUCCCAACCCAAGCCAUUCUGUGAUUCAGUGCUUAUUGUCUAAGAAAUCCCUAAAGCAGAGGUCAGUUAUAUUCUUAUUUGCAAUUGGAACAGGAUCCACGGAACAGUGAUCCCCACACCAAGCUGGCCAGAGUUCAAGAAGUUUCUGGACAAUGCUCUCGAACGUAUGGUUUGAAUUUUAGGUCAUCUUAUGUGGAACAAGAACUUGGACUUGAAGAUCCUUAUGAGUCCAUUCUAAAUCAGGAUAUUCUGUCAUUCCGUGAUACAUAAAGUGGAUGUGAACUGCAGCUCUGUACUAUUUCUAUGAAGCCAGACCUCACUUCCAGAGCAUACAGUGCAACACUUCAACCUCACUGGUCCUGCCUAAGCCUCCUGGACAGCUGAUAGCCCUCCAUACCAUCACCCCACUUGUAGGACUCAUGCUGCCAAGUCUCACCCCAGUGAUGUCAUAACGUUGGGAAAGGGCCAAAACCUUCCAGGUCAAGCAGCUUGUUCCAUAUACUGCACGAAUCAGUAUAUAAGCAUUUCAGAUGUGCUCAAUUAAAAUGAAGAGUUCUGGGAGGAAUCUGUUUAAAUAAAAUCUGUAUUGAGAUUUUAUCAUUGAGAUUAUGCAGUAAUUAUUGAAUGGUAUGAAAACUCAAAUGUAGAAAUGGUAUAGAAAUGUUAAGAAAAAAAAGAUGAAAAAAAAAGUAUUGGAAUCAACUCACUGAAUUUGUAAUUUGUGCACUUAUUUAAUUCAUUUAGCUAUCACAAGAAAUUAACAGAGGCUGAGCUAGGAAUUUGUUAUAUUGGCUGGCAGAUCUUGUAGCUCAUAAAGUUCAGCUGUAGAGAGGGAAGUAAAUAAGAGGGUCAUAGUUAAAAAUAGAAAGCCUUUGAAAUGAUUGUCUUAUCUCUAUCCUCAGCAGAAAUAGAUGAGAUCUUCUUCCUGAUCAAUAGGUAGAUAAAAGUGCAACGUUUACAAUCCUGGACUGGUAUCAUAACAGAUUAAUUGGCUUUGACAGUAGUGCAUGGAUUAUACUAACUAAGCAUGCAGCCCUCUUGUGGUACUGAAAUUGAAGCCUUGAUACACACACCAAGUUAAACUCACUAUAACAUUUAAACAAGCACAGGAUCAGUGUGCUUCAACAUUUGGCAAAAGUUAGCUUUUCAUAGAAGCAUUAAGAGUUACAGAGUUGUUAAAUAAGCUGUUAAGUGAGUUGAAUGGUAGGUAACCUUAUUCAGCAGUUCAGAACCUGAUUGAUUUGAUUUUUACCAUGUGAUUACUUUUUGUGUGUGGAAAUGUGGAAAAUGGAGAUCAGAACCACACGAUACAAAUUGUGCAGCACAAAUAAGAACACUCAUCCACAAAACAGAGCUGCAACAAGACCUGGGAGUGAUUAGAAUAAUGCAUUAGCCAUCUGCACAAUGUCUGCUAGCAGCGAGAAGGUAAACAAAGUCCUGGCAUGCAUUAUGUCUCUAGAAGUGAGAUGUAUGAAUCAGAACUUAAAUACAUACUGAGCAGCAGGAAAGCUUCUUUUAGAAUGCUCUGAGAUUUUCUAUUUAUGGUAUUUUAUGAGGACUAUAGGAAGCUAGAAAACAUCAAAAAGCUGCAACAGAAGGUACUUUGACUAACACUGGAAGCAAAGGAAAUGUCCCAUAAGGAAUGGGAAACCAGAGUGUUCUGUAUGCACAAA